rnacentral:rRNA from 1 species
AGUGAACGCUGGCGGUAGGCCUAACACAUGCAAGUCGAACGGCAGCACAGGAGAGCUUGCUCUCUGGGUGGCGAGUGGCGGACGGGUGAGGAAUACAUCGGAAUCUACUCUGUCGUGGGGGAUAACGUAGGGAAACUUACGCUAAUACCGCAUACGACCUACGGGUGAAAGCAGGGGACCUUCGGGCCUUGCGCGAUUGAAUGAGCCGAUGUCGGAUUAGCUAGUUGGCGGGGUAAAGGCCCACCAAGGCGACGAUCCGUAGCUGGUCUGAGAGGAUGAUCAGCCACACUGGAACUGAGACACGGUCCAGACUCCUACGGGAGGCAGCAGUGGGGAAUAUUGGACGAUGGGCGCAAGCCUGAUCCAGCCAUACCGCGUGGGUGAAGAAGGCCUUCGGGUUGUAAAGCCCUUUUGUUGGGAAAGAGAUCCAGCUGGCUAAUACCCGGUUGGGAUGACGGUACCCAAAGAAUAAGCACCAGCUAACUUCGUGCCAGCAGCCGCAGUAA